rnacentral:lncRNA from 1 species
ACGAGCUGCAACUGCGACAGGAGGCGUUGGAUUCCCCGGAAGCGCUGGCGCACACUACUCGGCCACAAGCUGAACCUGCUCACCGAUGAAAAUUCCUGCCGUCCAGCCGCACCACCACCCAGCAGUGGGCCAGAUCGUGUGGUUCAGGUGAGGAUAAUCCCAUCUCACCUUUGCUCCAGGGUGAACACGCGACCAAGACCCCUGUAGUGUCUCAGUGUGAAUUAUAAAAAGACACCCCUCUCUGGGCAGACAUAGUCAUGCACCAGGCAAAGGUAUGAGGCUGGGCUGGUUUACUGGAUAAAAGAAAUUGAAAUCUGCAUGCCCAUCUAAAAGUGGAAUCUAGAAUGUGAACUGACGUUCUACUUGGCUUAUACUGUUACUCAUUCCUAAGCAAUGGAAAUUAAGGGUAAAAGAAAAUCCAG